GACGAACGCCGGCGGCGUGCUUAACACAUGCAAGUCGAACGAUGAAACCUAGCUUGCUAGGUCGAUUAGUGGCGAACGGGUGAGUAACACGUGACUAACCUGCCCCUUUCUCUGGGAUAACGCUCCGAAAGGAGUGCUAAUACCGGAUACUCACAUCGAGGCACAUGCCUUGAUGUGGAAAGUUUUUCGGAAAGGGAUGGAGUCGCGGCCUAUCAGCUUGUUGGUGAGGUAACGGCGCACCAAGGCGACGACGGGUAGCCGGCCUGAGAGGGCGACCGGCCACACUUGGACUGAGACACGGCCCAGACUCCUACGGGAGGCAGCAGUGGGGAAUAUUGCACAAUGGGCGCAAGCCUGAUGCAGCGACGCCGCGUGAGGGAUGAAGGUCUUCGGAUUGUAAACCUCCUUCAGUAGGGACGAAGCGAAAGUGACGGUACCUAAAGAAGAAGCACCGGCUAACUACGUGCCAGCCGCCGCCGUAA
rnacentral:rRNA from 1 species